AGUAAAGCUAAAAUGCAACACAAUUCCCUCCUUCAAAAACCCAUUAUUAACCCCUCCAAUUCUAAAUUUCACCUUUAUCUUUUUGACUGCAAUUCCCAGCUUCUUUCUCCUCCUUCCCCACCUCCCUUCUCUCUCUCUUCUCUCCAUCUUCAGGACAAACCUCAACUUUCGUAACCCUUUUAUCCCCUAUCUCUUUUUCUUCCUCCAUCAUUACAAUGUCUUGGAAUUCUACCACCUUUAGAGGUACCCAAAAGCUCAAAAUUGACUCUGCUCCACCCACACCACCCACCACACCACCCCCCCCCCCCCCCCUCUCUUCCACUUGUCAUUGUUGUCCCAAUCAAACCUCUCACCGAUCUCCAACAACUCAGCAACUGCAGUCAAGUUUCCUGAGAAUGGCAAAGGAAGCAGGAGGGAUCACCGAAUCCAAGUGGGUUAGUUGUGGGUAAAGGGAAGGAGUCUGAGUCUGCCAUUAAUGAAGUAGGGAGCUUGGAGUAUUGAACCCAGCAACCCAUUGCCAUUCUGUUAUUUCGACUUGAGGAAUCUCUUGGCUUUUUCGUCUAACAAUGUCAAAAAGUUUGAAGAAUUAUCAAGCAGGAAAUUGAUGGUGACAUCUGCACUGAACUCAGAAUAUCUCCUUACCGUGCCUAUAUAUGUUGAUUGGAAGAGAAAUGCAAUAAUACUCAGCUUUUGACUUAGAUUGCAAAGCAUGAGUUGCAGUCUCAUCUAAGAGAUCAUCUGCAUGCUGGGCAGCAUCUUCAAGCUCAUCCAGCCACUGCUUGACAUUUGGGUAGUCCAUCACAUCACAAGAAGCCAGCCUAUCAAACACCACCUGAAGGGUAGUGGAGAGGAAAGCUCCACCCACCAAUGAAGCAGCCAUCUUCUCUUCGGAAUGAAUUUGCACAGCAGAGACAGACUGAAAACAGAAGUCUAAUGGCAAAGGAGAGAACCAGAACUCCACUUGAUUAGUUUUGUCACAGCAUGUCAGCGAAUUAAGUCUUCUUUUCUUAGUUUGUCACAUAGUUCAUGUGCUACUAAUGGUAGGUGCACUUUGGAUUUCAUUGAUUGGUUGGUCAUUGUAGUGGACCAAUAGAUUUGAUAAAAUAUAAAGAAACACAAUUAUUUAUUGGAAACAAACUUCCAACUUGUAUUAAUUUAUGGAUGCACAAAGUUUUUAACUUAGGUUUUCUUCCUUAGUUUCUCUGUUUCAUAUAACAUCUUCGAAGAAAAUGAUAUAUGAUUAUGACCAU